AAAUUGAUCGCAGAUCUACAAUGAAUAUAGCAUCAAAUUUAUUUUUAUCGUAAAUGAAGCCUAAGUAUUUAACCCACCCGAUCCCUUUUACCCUUUGCCCUAAUUUUACAUGGCGGCAACGAUGCUAGGAGGAGAUUUUAUUGCGGCGAUUUCCAUCCAGGUAAGGUCAUCACCCCUCUCUUCCAACUCCGACGAGUCUGUCGACACUCGGCUAGUGGCGGCUGGUGCAACACAACCGAUGACUUCUUGACCUUCAACAAUGUGAAGCUACCGGACACGUCAUGGUCGAUGGUGGACUGGAGCAUGCGGAGACUGGACAACUGCAUGCAGGGCCACAUGCCUGAGGAAUUGCUCUUGCACAACCUUCACCAGGGCCAACAUCAGUGGUAGCGGCUGCAUCUUUUGGACCAACAACCUCACCAACAUCAAACACUACAACAAUGGCUUCAGCCAAGAUCUCUACGUUCGAUUGGCAUGAGCGGAUUUAGGUGAAUCGAUGUCUAGUGGCUAUAGCAACAAGAGGCAUGUAGCAGUGAUCAUAGUGGCACUACUGUUAGCAAUGUUUCUCUUGGCUGCCAUUGUGAUCUUCCUUUGGAGAAGAAGAAAAUAAUGCUGACGAAGAAGAAGCAAUGGAAGAGGAAAACUUAGACAUGCCUCUUUUUGAUUUGGGUAGGAUUGCUAAGGCCAACGGAGACUUUUGCUUCGACAACAAGCUCGGAGAGGGUGGAUUUGGUCAUGCUUAUAAGGAAAAGUUGGAGGGUCAGGAAAUAGCUGUGAAGAGGUAUCGAAGAUGUUGACACAGGGCUCAGAUGAGUUCUAGAAUAAGGUGAUGGUGAUCGCCCAGCUGUAACAUCGGAACCUCGUUCACCUUCUUGGCUGUUGCAUUCAGGGGGAGAAAGAAUGUUGAUCUAUGAGUAUAUGCUCAAUGGAAGCUUGGACACAUUUUUAUUUGGAUUGGUGGACACAAUAAAAAUCAAUGGAAAAUAAGGAUAUUUGAAGAAGAUUGAGAAGAUUUAGUGAUGUUUGGAAAUUUGUUGAUGUAUGGAUGGUUUAGAACUUCUUAUGAUAUUUGGAUUGUAUGGAUAUUAGAUCUUUUGUGAUGUUUGCAUUUUUAUGUAUGAUAUGUUUGGAGUGUUAAGGAUACUAGAUGAUGUUUGCAU